rnacentral:tRNA from 1 species
GCCGGGGUGGUGGAACUGGUAGACACGCUAUCUUGAGGGGGUAGUGCCUGUAAAGGCGUAGGGGUUCAAGUCCCCUUCCCGGCACCA